UACGUAGGGUGCAAGCGUUGUCCGGAAUUAUUGGGCGUAAAGAGCUCGUAGGCGGUUUGUCACGUCGGAUGUGAAACCCUGAGGCUCAACCUCAGGCCUGCAUUCGAUACGGGCAGGCUGGAGUUCGGUAGGGGAGACUGGAAUUCCUGGUGUAGCGGUGAAAUGCGCAGAUAUCAGGAGGAACACCGGUGGCGAAGGCGGGUCUCUGGGCCGAUACUGACGCUGAGGAGCGAAAGCGUGGGGAGCGAACAGG
rnacentral:rRNA from 1 species